rnacentral:lncRNA from 1 species
UUCAUCUUCUAUAAAUGGUCGAGAAGAUUUGGCCUUUUCCAUCAGUGUAUUAUAAUCAAUUCAAAAUACAUUUUCUUCAUUAUCUUCGCCCCAAUGGCCGCAAAUAAUAGGAUUCUGAUUGUCGCCCUUUUAAUGUGUGCAUUGGCUCUGAAGGCCAUGGCAGAAGGAGAUGAGGGAAAUAAAAAUGCACAUUGCACAGUAGAAUGCUAUUGGGAAUGCAUAAAAAUCCAGAUUUUCACGCACAACAAAUGCGAGAGCGCGUGUAGACUCGUCUGCGCGAGAAGAAAUGCGAGGAAAGUAUCAGCAGGCGAAGUCAGGUUCUUACCUCCAUGGGUGUAAUAGAACAGUCAACAUUUAUAUAUAACAUUUCAAUGCAUAAAUCAUCUGUUUGUUUUUUCUAUUAAUAUGAGAGAUUUUUUAUAUUAAUGUACCAAUUCUUUGUGGAUUUUUCGAAGAUUUGAUAUGAGUAUGGUAUCUGCAAUCACAAAGUGA